AUUGACUUAGACGCUCAAUUCAAUAUAUUGUAGAAGAAGGGAAUGAUGAUAUUCAAAAGAUAGAACUUGAUUUGCAAAAAAUUGCAUUGGAGGCAACUGUUGAUAUAUUGUAGACGCCAAGAAAAAAAAUACUUGAUUGUUGAUGACUUAGUGUUGGUGGCAA